UAAACGCCAUUUUAACGUUUUAAAGGUUAUAUAAAGUAUAUGAUAUAUCGUUUACACUUUGAGCUUCUACACCAAUUGUUGUACCGAAGUAUCAAAAAGUAUUUAAACAUAAGCAAGUUUAUAUGCUAUCUAACAUUGCAAUCUAUAUCGUAGAUGAUAGAGAGUUGAUCUGUUUCUAUAGCCAAUGGUUGUCAAGGGUGUAGUGUGGCCGGCACAUUGACCAACUGCCUUUUAUUUCCCCACAAUUAAUGUCAGAUACCAAUAAAACUUGGGUGGACUACUGAAGCGUCCAAAUUAUCCCGAAAUAAAAAUCCCAGUCUUUACCAGGAAUUGAACACAAGACCUAUCGGUUCCGAAGUCAAGCGCUCUACCACUCAACAACCACGCUGUAUAGUAUCUAGUUACCGUCUGCUGCUUUUGUAAGAACUAUUUGUCUACUUGUCACAGCCUCCAAUGGCGAAGCGUCCGAAUGACGUCUCUGGGUCAGAAUGUAAUUGUAGGCUUAAAGUAAAUUGUCCACAGGUUUAACAUUACAGUCAGCUGUGAGGGACAAUUUGUUGCUGAUUCUCGCAGGUGUUAGGAGACAUACGGGGAUACAGACGUUUACUGCUGCUAGGUUUUAACUCCGGACAACUCACGACUAAACAAAUCCAGAAUGCGAACUAUUGUUAAUUUCUUUCUGACUCUUUGUUUCUUCUUUUUGGAUGCAACUUCUCUGGUCAAUAUUUUGCUGGGAGACACAAGAAACAAGUCAGCUACUCGACGAAUGUACAGACAGAUGAAUGAAGCUUCUAGAACAGCGAGACUUCCAUCCAGAUUGAAAUCCCAGUUUUAUUUAGUAAAACAAAAAAAGACAACAAAUCAAUGAUGCUUAUGAUCCACCAAUUAAUCUAGAGCGCUUAAUUGUGUCCACCAUUUAGAAAAAAAAAUGGUCUUAUUAUCCUUCA